UGGGUAACCUGCCUCAAAGAGGGGAAUAACCUCCCGAAAGGGAGAUUAAUACCGCAUAAUAUGUUUAGGUCGCAUGACUUUAACAUCAAAGGAUUUUCUUUUAGAAAUUCCACUUUGAGAUGGACCCGCGGCGCAUUAGCUAGUGGUGAGGUAACGGCUCACCAAGGCAACGAUGCGUAGCCGACCUGAGAGGGUGAUCGGCCACAUUGGAACUGAGACACGGUCCAGACUCCUACGGGAGCAG
rnacentral:rRNA from 1 species